UGUUCUUGAAGUUUCGCAUGAACAAUAUUAUAUGUCAUUAGAACUUUUUAACUCUAUGAAAAAUCUGUUAAAAAAAUAUAAUUUUUUUAUAAAACGUAUGCAUAAGAAUUCCAUAUUUUCGAAGACGAAGUUUGUUUUAGGUAUGGGUGAUAUGCGAAACAUUAAGCAUUUAUUUUUGAACGAUAGUAGAACAAAUGAAUCGACUGAAAGUGGUGGUGAUAGUGGUAGUGGUAGUGGUGGUGGUAGUGGUGGUGGUAGUGGUGGUGAUAGUGGUGGUGAUAGUGGUGGUGAUAGUGGUGGUGAUAGUGGUGGUGGUGAUAGUUCUAGUACUAGUGAUAGUUCUACUGCUAGUGGUAGUUCUACUGCUAGUGGUACCGAUACAGUUUUGUCGGUGUUACAAUCAGGAGAGCUAACCAUAUCAGAUAAAGUAGAACAGGAAAAAACAAACACAGUGUAUAAUGAAGCUUUCCAAGUCGGAAAAGAUAUGCCCAUAAAUCACACUACACGUAAAAAACGUGAGAAACGUAAUAAAUGUAACAAGCACAACGUGACAAACACCCAAAUAAAAGACUCACCACUCUUAAGACGAAGAAAUGGAACCAUGCAAUACAUACUUAAUACGAAAUUAGAUUUUAUUAAUUACCAACAGUCAAAUUUUUACCAAGAAACACAUUGGAAUGAAAUAGAAAACUAUAACCAUUUAAAAAAUGUAGACAAACUGGUCUAUUUUACCAAAGACUUAUAUUACAAUUUUACGAAACAAAAAAUUAAAAACAAAUUAAAUGAAAUAACAUGUGAACAAAAACAUUAUGAUAAAGUACGGCUAAUAGAAUACUGUAAAAAAAAAAUACCAAGUUACAAUAAAAAUAUAAAAUAUAUGAAUUUUUUAGGAGUCCACUCACAUUCUUUUGUUUGGCAAAUUUAUUGCAUGCAACUUGAAAUUUUUUGUAUUUUGAAGUUUAAACGGUUAAGAGUAGGAGGCGCUUCGGAUGGGGCAUAUCAUGUUAGUGUUACAAGUAACAGCAGUAUCACGAGCAACACCACUUAUAAGAGCAAUAGUUGCGAC
rnacentral:lncRNA from 1 species